UACUACGGGAGGCAGCAGUGGGGAAUAUUGGACAAUGGGCGAAAGCCUGAUCCAGCCAUGCCGCGUGUGUGAAGAAGGUCUUCGGAUUGUAAAGCACUUUAAGUUGGGAGGAAGGGCAGUAAGUUAAUACCUUGCUGUUUUGACGUUACCGACAGAAUAAGCACCGGCUAACUUCGUGCCAGCAGCCGCGGUAAUACGAAGGGUGCAAGCGUUAAUCGGAAUUACUGGGCGUCAAGCGCGCGUAGGUGGUUCGUUAAGUUGGAUGUGAAAGCCCCGGGCUCAACCUGGGAACUGCAUCCAAAACUGGCGAGCUAGAGUAUGGCAGAGGGUGGUGGAAUUUCCUGUGUAGCGGUGAAAUGCGUAUAUUUAGGAAGGGACACCAUUGCGGAAAGGCGACCCCCUGGGCUAAUACUGACACUGAGGUGCGAAAACGUGGGGAGCAAACAGGAAUAA
rnacentral:rRNA from 1 species